UACGUAGGGGGCAAGCGUUGUCCGGAAUUACUGGGCGUAAAGCGUGCGUAGACGGUUAUGUAAGUCAGAUGUGAAAGCCCCGGGCUCAACCUGGGAAUUGCAUUUGAGACUGCAUAGCUAGGGUGCGGAAGAGGGAAGCGGAAUUUCCGGUGUAGCGGUGAAAUGCGUAGAUAUCGGAAGGAACACCAGUGGCGAAAGCGGCUUCCUGGUCCAGCACCGACGUUCAGGCACGAAAGCGUGGGGAGCAAACAGG
rnacentral:rRNA from 1 species